rnacentral:rRNA from 1 species
GAUGAACGCUAGCGGCAGGCUUAACACAUGCAAGUCGAGGGGUAUGGGAAGCUUGCUUUCCAGAGACCGGCGCACGGGUGCGUAACGCGUAUGCAAUCUACCUUUUACGGGGGGAUAGCCCAGAGAAAUUUGGAUUAAUACCCCAUGGUAUAUGUGAAUGGCAUCAUUUACAUAUUAAAGUCACAACGGUAAAAGAUGAG